AAUUAACAGAACAGAAAAGGAACAAUAAAAAGAAAAUCUUUAGUUGGAUGGGAAACUGGAAUUCACUCAUCCCCUUCUCGUAAAGUUCCAGACUUUGAGCAGGUGUUGCAAAAUAUUUGCAAAUGGCAGAUAAAUGGAAGGAGACUGCUCUCUGUGUCAUUGACAUGCAGAAUGAUUUUAUCCUUGAGGAUGGGUUGAUGAGAGUUGAUGGAGGGAAAGCCAUUGUCCCAAACGUGAUAAAGGCAGUUGAAAUCGCUAGGCAGGGUGGCGUUUUCGUAGUCUGGAAGAAGUGGAUAGAUUUCUAGUAACAAAUGCUAUUCCCAAGCUUCACCCAAUUUUUAUCCACUUAGCUUGUCUAUAACAUUGAGGUACAGAUCGAUGAAGUAAUAGCUGUAUUCAGCUUUCUGCUUGAGCAUGACUGUACGAGGUCACAUUAUUCUGCAUUUGUGAAACAUCUGCUGAGAAAUUUCAGUUUAUGCUGAGCUGUAGCAAAAAAGUUGGAUAACAAUGUGAUUUUAAUCACAUCAGGGGUGAUCCUGAAUUAAUUUGAAAGGUUUUGAACUUGAUUUUAGUAUCAAGUAUAGACCAGAUUCAAGUUGGACAUGCUGCAAAAAGAAAUAUCUGACCAUCAUAAAGGCUCCUUCAGAGUAAACAACCAAUCCAUAAAGUGCCGAGUCAUGAAAUGCACCAUCUAUGUUGACGGACUGAUAAUGUAAAUAUGAUUUGUUGUUGUCGUAUGCUAUUAUCAUGCUUUCUUUAGAGCUGAUUUAUAAGAUAUGAUAGAGAUGGUCUUUGUUAAUAAAAAAAGAUAGUGGAGAAAACUUUUGGUCAAAAAGCUUUUAUUAGUUGCAUCCCUUGUCCUUAUUUUAGCCGUUGGAUGGAAUUGGAAAAUAAUGAAUACUUUGUGGCUAAAGUAUCUUCAGAUGAUUAGGCUAAAAUCUUGAACUCAAAAAUUGCUGUGCAUGAACUUGUGGCGUGUGAAGGAGAAUUAUCUGAGGUGUAUUGGUGAUGAAGUAAAUAUCUUGAAUUUUGAAUUAUACAUGAGAAGGGCCAAGUGUUGGGAAUUUUAUGAGCUUAAUAUCAGAUUGGGACAGCGAAAAAUGUUCUUAAGCCAUAAGAACAAAUAAGAGUCGAUUCAUGUAACAAUAAUGUUAAAGUUGCAAGAGUUAUCUUUGCUAAAUUGUUUGCAAGACUAGACCAAAACGAAACGAAUCAAAAUCACCUUUUUGAUCUCCUCUCUAGCAAAAAAACGUGAUCAAGGGACUGCCCAAUAGCGACUCCCCUUUACAAUUUCACGCACUGAAAUUCUCGGUCAAAGAAAGUGUGCUAGCACCUUGAAUAUUUGUCUCUUCCUUUUGGUUUUGUGAAUUCAGCUUAGGUAGAGGAUUGAAGAUCUAAUCUCUAUCAAUCCCUGAUGUGUUUAGUGUCAAAAAUUUCAGAGCAAGUAGGAGAAAAAUCUCUUCUUUUCUCUAAGAGGUUCGACCAAAAAGAGAAGGUGGAAGAAGUUGCAGUUUUUUUCUCCUUUUUCUCACUUAUGUAGCCGCAUCUAUUGAGCCACAAAUCAGGGUUUUAUUUUCCCUUUUAUAGUCAUUCAAAUUUGACCUCAAUGAGAAGAAAACUUUGAGAGAAAGUUUGAUUUAAUUUAAAUUCAAAUCCAAUUAAAUAUUGACAUUUAAUUCAAAAUAAAUUUCCUUAAAACAAGUUCUAAUCCUAUUAGAACCCUCUUUCUCUUAACUAAUUAAUUAAACCUUUUAAUUAACUAAUUAUAUCAGACCUUAAGCCAUAUUAAGUGGGCGUAAAAAUGUGUGUCAAAAUUCACAUGAGCCUAUUGAUAAUAUUUUAAACAAAACACUUAUUAAUGGCCCGAUAAAGAAAAGACCAAAGUACCUUUUUUCCAAAUUUCAACGUGUGCGAUCCUAUAGGACUAUUCAAUGUUGGCAAUAGGUUUUUAAGGUCCAUGAAUUAUAAUUGAUCUCUAGUAAGACAUUAUAAUUACCCAAAUUGAAUAGUUAUGAAUUUGCUCAGAAAAUCACCCUACUAGUGAACUAGUAUAAUUUUUUGCCAUAAGAUAUCAUAAUUUGCAUAAGACAUAGAACAAGUCAUCUUUACUCAUUGCUAAAUCAUUUUUCUUAACCUAUUAGUGAUACUGAAUCAAUCAAGUUAAUAAUAACUCUUUUCAUACAACUUGGGUGUGGCCACACUCUUCUCAAUUUCACUAUUUAGGUGGCCAAUGAUAUUUUCUCUUUCUUCGAGAGAGGCAGUCCCUUCACUUCUCUCAUAUUGCCUAGCAUGAAUUGUGGCAUACCCAAUCAUAUCCGUACUUGCCAACCUAUUUACGGGCGCAUUAGGUGUAAGUCAAAGCAUACUAGGACUCAUCUAGGCAUUUAUAGAGAUUUCCAGUCUAAAGACUUUUAGUACAAGUAUCACUAGAGAGACACUUAUGACUUUCAACUUGUAGUGUUCUCGUAAGUGGAUCGUUUCCAAAUACACCAUUCUUAAUUUAUAUUUAUGUUCUCUUAUUGAUAUCCAAUAUCUAAUGACCCGUAAAACAUGAUCAUCUCACAGAGACCAUACUAGCCUUAGUUCAAUGUCACUCCCAUGACAACGAUUGACUAGGAAAGUUUAAAAUGUUGUUUUUCAAAAUUCCAAGAUUUUACUACUAAGUGCCUCACACUUGAUAACUUGAACAGACCCAACAUUCAAGAUGUUUUAUUAAUUUAAUAUGCACAGUAAUAAACAACAAAGUGAUAAAACAAAUACCUUAUCUUUAUUUAUUAUAGAUAAAAUGUCUUUACAAUGUAUAUGGGAUUAAGGCUUACACUCACACUAAGAAGAGGUGCUCUGUCAUUAGUACACAGGAUAAACUUUGAUCUCUUGCAGUAGCAUGCGGAAUCAAGGCAGCUGGAGUGAAGUAAUUUUUUGUUGAGGAGAGGCAAUUUUAUAAUGGGAAAAUUGUAGAAGGAUAAAGUAGAUGUAAGAUAUUUAGCCAUGUGAAACAGAUUGGACAAUUGGGUCAUGGUAUAAUAUUAGAUAAUUAUAGGACAAUUGUUUAAAUACUUGAAUAUGAGGUGAAACUCAAUUGAAAUCACAAUUUCAUAACACCACUAGUGUUUUUUCAGGGGAAAAAGGAUCUGCUCAUUUAUAUUGCUUAUAUCUCUAUGAUCAGAAGAUAAAUAAAAAAAUCUGAUAUCUCCAUGUCAGAUUCAACCUUGUGCACUCCCCCUCUGAAAACUAGAUGCAUCAGUAAACAUUUUUCUACUGUUUUCCCAUUCCGUAUACUUAGUAAAUUGGAUGUUUGUUUAAUUUGUCACUGAUAUUGUUUAACCUUUAUAUCUUAUGCAUUGAAAUUUUGAUUGGUUUAAAACGUUGGCAUUCAUGACGAAUUAACCUGGAUUUCUAUUUUAAUA